GUUUCUAUAGUAAAAUUACUACAGCAAUUUUUCGAGUUGCAAAUUCGAGUUAGAGUCUCGAUAGAAAUA
rnacentral:tRNA from 1 species